rnacentral:rRNA from 1 species
CAUUAAUUUGAGAGUUUGAUCCUGGCUCAGGACGAACGCUGGCGGCGUGCCUAAUACAUGCAAGUCGAACGAACUCUGGUAUUGAUUGGUGCUUGCAUCAUGAUUUACAUUUGAGUGAGUGGCGAACUGGUGAGUAACACGUGGGAAACCUGCCCAGAAGCGGGGGAUAACACCUGGAAACAGAUGCUAAUACCGCAUAACAACUUGGACCGCAUGGUCCGAGUUUGAAAGAUGGCUUCGGCUAUCACUUUUGGAUGGUCCCGCGGCGUAUUAGCUAGAUGGUGGGGUAACGGCUCACCAUGGCAAUGAUACGUAGCCGACCUGAGAGGGUAAUCGGCCACAUUGGGACUGAGACACGGCCCAAACUCCUACGGGAGGCAGCAGUAGGGAAUCUUCCACAAUGGACGAAAGUCUGAUGGAGCAACGCCGCGUGAGUGAAGAAGGGUUUCGGCUCGUAAAACUCUGUUGUUAAAGAAGAACAUAUCUGAGAGUAACUGUUCAGGUAUUGACGGUAUUUAACCAGAAAGCCACGGCUAACUACGUGCCAGCAGCCGCGGUAAUACGUAGGUGGCAAGCGUUGUCCGGAUUUAUUGGGCGUAAAGCGAGCGCAGGCGGUUUUUUAAGUCUGAUGUGAAAGCCUUCGGCUCAACCGAAGAAGUGCAUCGGAAACUGGGAAACUUGAGUGCAGAAGAGGACAGUGGAACUCCAUGUGUAGCGGUGAAAUGCGUAGAUAUAUGGAAGAACACCAGUGGCGAAGGCGGCUGUCUGGUCUGUAACUGACGCUGAGGCUCGAAAGUAUGGGUAGCAAACAGGAUUAGAUACCCUGGUAGUCCAUACCGUAAACGAUGAAUGCUAAGUGUUGGAGGGUUUCCGCCCUUCAGUGCUGCAGCUAACGCAUUAAGCAUUCCGCCUGGGGAGUACGGCCGCAAGGCUGAAACUCAAAGGAAUUGACGGGGGCCCGCACAAGCGGUGGAGCAUGUGGUUUAAUUCGAAGCUACGCGAAGAACCUUACCAGGUCUUGACAUACUAUGCAAAUCUAAGAGAUUAGACGUUCCCUUCGGGGACAUGGAUACAGGUGGUGCAUGGUUGUCGUCAGCUCGUGUCGUGAGAUGUUGGGUUAAGUCCCGCAACGAGCGCAACCCUUAUUAUCAGUUGCCAGCAUUAAGUUGGGCACUCUGGUGAGACUGCCGGUGACAAACCGGAGGAAGGUGGGGAUGACGUCAAAUCAUCAUGCCCCUUAUGACCUGGGCUACACACGUGCUACAAUGGAUGGUACAACGAGUUGCGAACUCGCGAGAGUAAGCUAAUCUCUUAAAGCCAUUCUCAGUUCGGAUUGUAGGCUGCAACUCGCCUACAUGAAGUCGGAAUCGCUAGUAAUCGCGGAUCAGCAUGCCGCGGUGAAUACGUUCCCGGGCCUUGUACACACCGCCCGUCACACCAUGAGAGUUUGUAACACCCAAAGUCGGUGGGGUAACCUUUUAGGAACCAGCCGCCUAAGGUGGGACAGAUGAUUAGGGUGAAGUCGUAACAAGGUAGCCGUAGGAGAACCUGCGGCUGGAUCACCUCCUUU